rnacentral:rRNA from 1 species
UACGGGGGGAGCAAGCGUUGUUCGGAUUUACUGGGCGUAAAGGGCGCGUAGGCGGUCAGCACAAGUCAGUUGUGAAAUCUCCGAGCUUAACUCGGAAAGGUCAACUGAUACUGUGCGACUAGAGUGCGGAAGGGGCAACUGGAAUUCUUGGUGUAGCGGUGAAAUGCGUAGAUAUCAAGAGGAACACCUGCGGCGAAGGCGGGUUGCUGGGUCGACACUGACGCUGAGGCGCGAAAGCUAGGGGAGCGAACGGG